ensembl:lncRNA
AGCACUACCUUUGCCCCUAGCACUGCCAGGGUGGCCUGACUGUUUGCAAGCACCCAGGUGAGACAGAAAUGCAGCCUUCAUCAGCCUAUUCCAAGGCCAGCUGUGCCUGCCAGCUGCUUCCUAGUACUGCCAGGAUGGCAGUAUUUGCACUAAUGAAAGCCCCACCAGUUCCUGAAGCCAUGAGCAUUUUAAAAGGUAAGGUGUUACGUACACUGAGAAAAAAAACCUGAAAAUACAUCUUGUAGAGGCUGAAGCCCUGGAAACUGAAAGGAUUUUCUCAUUCCUUGGGUCCAGCAGCAACAGCAUUUUGAAAUCAGGCUAAACUUCAGAUGCAUCUUGACCAACUGGAAAGGAGGUUUCCAGCUGUUUGCUGCUCUGGAGGGAGUGAAGGAGAAGAUCUAAAGCAAAGAAGAUUCAGAACCAGAAGCAAUUCUGAAAGUCUAUGGCCUGAGUGCUGAAUCUGCAUAGUUUCCCUGGACAUCAGCAGCAGCCUUGAGGCAUCACCUGUGGAGACACCUGAAACAAGCACAUGCUUUAGAAAAAUAGCAGAUUGCAGACAGGAGAGUGCCUAAUGGUGGGGUUGGGUCUGCCAGUCUGUGGUCCUCAGCCAUACACUGAAGCAUGUAGAGUGAUAUCCAUAGACUUCCAUCUCAUGUCGGCAUUCCUGUUAUCAAGACACUCCCUCUGAAGCUAUGGAGUUGCAGAGCUGUUUGCAGGUGGUCCAGCUGACUCUUAUAUGAGGCAAUGACCUUCUCUGCACUGUAACAUACUGGUGCUGGACCCGGCUGUAUGUGAAUUCCUCGCAGACUAGGAGAGUUAGGAGGAGCACUGACUACGUGGUACCCAGCAGCUAGCAAAUUGCAUACCUGCUCUACGUGGGAACCCAGCAGAGCAGGAUGGCCCAGGGCCUCAGCAGAGAGCUUCCUGGGAUCUCGGCCAUAUGGCACACUGCACUGGUUACGCGUGAAGAGGUUCACUUGAGGCUUUCCUAUACAUGUGGUUAACAAGACAGUCUACUUCUUCAGCAGGUUUCAAUUAGUGUGGCUGCUCUGUGGGCGGCACUGGCUCAGUCUGGCAGCUUUGCCAAUGGUCUCAUUGGCUUCUCUUACUUUUGCCUGCAUGACUCUGGGUCUUCAGCUGCUGAUAGAAGAAACGUCUUUUCUGACUGCACUGCAAGGGGCUCUGGAGACACCUGAGCUGUAGGUAGUGUACAGCUGGCACAUCUGAAUGUAAUGCCAGUCAGCGAGCUGGGAGAAAGGACUGCUAUCAUCUUGGGUGUCCACAGGGGAGGAAAGGGUGAGUGCUCUGAAACUCUUCCUAUUCCAGCUGUGUCUUUUCCCCUCCACGGAGCCUGAGCCUCCAGGAGGCUCCUGCCCUGAGCAAAGUGGCUGGGGAUGAGGGUAAAGGGCUGCUGUAAUGGGGAAGUCCAAGGGCUACCAUAGAACCUUCUGCCCCCCCCUCCCCCCAAGAGCCAUGUCCUGCUGCAGCGGGACUUGAGCAGCCAUGAGGAGAGGAGGAACUGAAGGUCUGAUCUGGGUGCUCUGACUCACUACUCAGCUGAGCAGGAAGCAUGAGGGGACUCAACUGGUGUGAUCAGGAAAACAGCAGGAGCUGGGUUUUUGAGAAGGAACUGGAACAGAGAAACCUUUGUGCUUCCUGCAGGCAUGUGGUAGGGAGAAGGGACGGUUUUAGACCUGUUUUAUUGUGGUGAAAAUUGAGAGGGUCGUGCCGCCAUGCUUGGCGCUAGCUGUGUAGGUAGCUGUCGUGGUGGUGGAGGGGAGGUCAGUGUGUGGGGUGACACUUGUUGCUCUUUGUCACACUGCUGGCAUUCUGUGAUAGGUUCCAAAAGCAUUCGGAAAUCCCAAACAGAGUCAGAAAUUAAAAACGGGUGGUGGUUUGUGGUUCAUAUGACAGAAGGCAUAAACCAGCAGGGAAGUGUGUACAGGUGACAUUGAGCCACUGGCUGUAGUUUUAAAUGCUGAAAUAAGCGAUGCUGGUUGUUUCACGAAGCCAAGUUCCUCAUCCAGCUAUUACAGAGCUGACAUUUGGGAAAUCAGAUGCACGUGUAGCCCUUACGGACAGACUCUGCUUUGCAUGAGCUUUGCUGAGAUUUGCACCGCCAGGCAUCUCACUUCUGUUUGUCACUGUGAUUGCCUUCUUGGCAAUGCAUCGUGCCAUUUACUGCCCCUCAUGUCCUUAACUGGAAUUAGCUGCCACCCCCUCUCCCAAUGGCUCAAUCACAGCUCUUCAGCAGCUCAGCUCCUUGUUUCCCUCUGCUGCCAGCCUACUCUGCAAUCACCUUUGCAGUAAGAACGGUUUUGCAUUGGUGUCCCUGUCUCCCUCCCAAAGAGCUGCCUAGCCCUGUCCCCUCAGCCAUGGAAAAACUAUUUUCAAACACAAGAGCAAAGAGGAAGACUUUCAGCAGCUGUAAAGCUCUACUUUUCCUGGGAGGUGCUCUGUCACUGCCAGCUGCCAGGGAUGUCUCAGUGAUUUUUGCUGAUGAUGGGAGAAUUGCAUUUGAACUAAAGAGGCAAAGGGAUUAUCUUUAAGCUAACACACUGAAUGAGUACUGCCCUCAUUUUUGCUGCACUGAGGCCCCUCAUGAUCACAAACAGCUCCUUUCCCCUCUGUAGCACUUGUACAGAGGGGAACUGACCGCAUUUAACAGGCCAACGUAGUCUGAAGUGGGGUUUGCAUGAGAGCUACAAUGCCUAAUCCCAGCCUGGCAAAUAUAUACUGUUUGAUGUGCUUUGGGCAGUCUUUUGCAGGUGAGCAUGGCAAUGAACAGCGAGAGCAUCUGUAAGUAUGUGUGCUACUGCCCUUUGUGUUGAGAUGGUGCCACGAGGCCAGGCAGCUGACCUGCCUCCCGCAGACCAGAGAGUGCUGACACCACACAUGGUGUCCUGGCAAACAUUUGGGUUAGAAAUGUCUGUAUUAGCUGGCCAUGUGGAAGGGAGAUGUAUUGCUGCUGUGCAACUGAGGGCAAAGAGACAGCCCCCAGCACUCAUGCAGCUCAGGAUCUGCCUGCAGCACAGCUCAGCACUGUGCUGUCAGGGGGCAGAGCUGAAGGCCCUGUCAGCCUCACGGCAACACAGGCAGCUCAACCCCAAGUGGAGCAGGUGGGACAGAAGGUCCCCACCGCAGCCAUCGAUGUGCCCAACCAAACCCUACUUCCCUGUGCCAGACACUCAAUGUCAAAUCUCUCUUCGAGAGACCGCAGCAGAAAAUCUGAGAAGCAGGAAAGCAUCAUCUGUGCCAGCUGCAGGAGGAUUAGGAGACCUGCCCAGUGUGUGAGUGAAGCCAAUAGCAGAGUGAGAAGCAAAUGCAUGAUGAGUGACUCAGGCUCCAGGCUGGCCCAGCCCAAGGGGUGUGAACCUGCAUCACCUCUUGAGCAGCUCCAUCCCACCCAGGGACCUCUCGCCAUCGUCCCAUCAGGACUGAUGUGCUGCCAGAAACCAGAAAUAGUAUCCUGAAGAAGAAAAAAAAAAAGUGUGGGGGGAGGGGGACGUUUGUGCUGUAUCAAUGUGUUCUGGUUUGGGUUUUUCAAAACAAAAUGCUUCUGGCCUUUGCUUGGAAAAGGAUUUUCAGCUGUAUUUGUGUGCAAAAGCGCUGAUUAUGUGUUACAAUGGAAGGAGUCGAAAUCAAAAGGAAAGGAAAUAGAACGCUGAGAGACAACGGCCUGGAGAAAAACCAACCCCAGACAGCUGGGAAAUCCCAGCUCUUUGUCUGCAGAUAGAUCUGAAAAGACCAAGGGGUUUUUCCUUUGAUUCUCAGGUUUGCCCUGAAUCCAAAUGAAAGCUAAUACUGGUAUAGCUGACUUCUGCGAAGAGAAAACAUCCAUUUUUGAUUCUCUUUCCAUAUUCCCCCCCCCCCAUGCUCUGCCUGCACAUGAUGCAGCCAAACAGGAAUUGGAGAGAGACGAAGAAAAUUUUCAUAAACACAGAAAAUAAAUUGCACACAAACAUCAAACCAAAGCUGGUGCAUUGUUAGCAGUGCUUUUCCAGAGCCUUGAUAUUUCCUGAGGACUCUCAUGGGUCUGCGGUCUCUUCCACCACAUCAAUCCCAGUACGUUGUAUGCUCAUUAGCCCGAAGAGCAUGCUCAUAUUUAUGGGGUUGGGAGUGGCACGAUGAGCUCCGUUCCCAAAGGUGGAAUAUUCACUGUGUGCUGCCAGACAUCAUGGUAAUUUGGGGUGUGUGGGGGCUGGAGGGCACAGCCCCAUACUUCGCAGCCUGCUGUGGAGCUCCUUGCUGCAAGUCUCAGCCCUCCCAGCAUGGCACGUGCUGAUG